rnacentral:lncRNA from 1 species
GCAGACCGAUGCCCAUUUCCCGAAACUGUCUCCAUAGGGAUACUAAGGAAGGACACCACAUUCUCCUUCAAAAAUUUCAAGCGUUCUUGCUACAUAAUUGACUGAAGUGGUUUGGCUUUCAAUCGGCGAGUCAUGUAAUCAACUUCUCCCAUAAUGAAAUUAACUGGAUCUUUUGCCUUCGGAAGAGGGUUCAAUAUUACCGCUCUUUGGCAUUUAUUACAAUCCUCUAUAUUGUCAAUAGCUUUGUUGAAACGUGUUGGCUAAUAAUAUCUAGAGGAAAUACGUCUUCCUCUAGAUAGUUUAGAUAUAACAUCAUCCAGCAGCUAAAUCUAUCGAUGCACAUAACUUCUUCAUGUUGGACAUAGAGUUAUUCCAGAAUUUCCAAAUAAAUUGAUCUUUCCAACAUAGUGGUUUCAGCUGUAGCCAACUUUGACAAUGCAUUCGCAAUCAAUUCUAAUCAAUUCCAAACCUACCAUUGAUUCUUUUCUGUUUUUUCUCUGUAAUUCUUUUUGUUUGAAUUUGUGAAACUCUUAUCACAACACCCAACCAACAACCGACUGAUUUUAACGAUUUUAAUCCGAAAUUGGGCGUGAGAAGAUUCAUUUCAGAACACAUUGAACGCGAUUUUGGGUGUGGUAUGUGUGAUUUGGUUCAGCGAUUUGGGCGUGAGAAGUUUAAUUUCUAAUUUGGGCGUGCGGAGCAGAACUAGGGAAGACGACCGAAUCGUUCGCCGGAAAACGAAUCUGAAGAUGUUGUGAAUUGGUUAGUCAUCUUCUUUGAUGUUUAGAUCAUUAAGUUAUAUGCAUUUGAAGUGUUUACUAUAAGCCAGCAUCAUACAAGAAAAAGGUCAGGCUUGUAUCUAACUGGUGUUUUGGUUCUUUGUAUAACAUGUGGACUGUUAGUUGUUGCUGGUAGUUGGCAUGAGUUGUUUCAGUAUUUACAUUUAAUUCUGACUAAUUUCUAAUUUGAUACAUUAUUUGUUAAGUGGCUUUCAUUUUUUCUUUUGAAACGAAACCCUCCUUUUUUCUAUUUUCUGUCCUGGGAAAUCAGAAAAGAAAUUAGUUGAAUUGUGGUCAAGAACUCGAGAUAUAUAUGUAUAUAUAUAUAUAUAUAUAUAUAUAUAUAUAUCAGUGGAAACAUGAUCCUAGCAACCGACAUUGUUUUAAGCAUUAUUGUGGUUUCUAGUGUCUAACCAUAAGAAUGGGGAAAGAUUGGUUGGCCUUGUUAGGGGUUUUUAGUGUCUAACCAUUUUCACUUUGAACCAUUCUUGUUCAUAAGCAUGUUUCAAAAUUUUCUUCUCUUUAUGCAUUAUGUAGGGUUGAGUUUGAUCAAAGUUUUCACUGGUUACUAAAUUAAGAGUGAGCUUGAUUUUAUUUUAUCAUUUAUCAUUUUGUAGUCCUGAGUUUUAUCUGUCUGCUAAGUGUGUCUUGGUAUAUAUCCAAAAAUUGAAGUUGAAUUUGACUGUGAGAAUUUCCUGGUUGAUGAUAAUUAAAUAGAUAGUAUAGUGAGAUUAAAGGAUAACUUGAGGGAAUCCGUUAGUUUCUGGUGAAUGGAAAAACUCUCUUGUUUAGCUUUACAGAUGUUUGUAGGAAUUACCAUGUGAAUCAAAUACAAUUAUCUAGUUAAACUGGAAUUCCUGUGUGAAUCAAAUACAAUUAUCUUUCUUAUUUAGUUCCUUCUCAUUGGAUUAUUUCUUGCAAAACAGGCUGCUUUGAAAAAAAAUAUAAAUAUUAUUUCAUUGAUUUGUGCACUCCCUGCUUACUCCCUCCUUUUUUCUAUUUUCUGUCCUGGGAAAUCAGAAAGGAAAUUAGUUGAAUUGUGGUCAAGAACUCGGGAUAUAUAUGUAUAUAUAUAUCAGUGGAAACAUGAUCCUUUUGUAAUGUUGGAAUAGAUUCCCCCACACAACAACCUAAAAAAAGCAGCAUAGACAUAAUGCAUAUAAUUAUAUGUCCUGAAAAAGAUGUUUGAAUUUCACUUUAAUGCAGCUGUAAAAGAUUAACAUAGUAUACAUAAUGCAACUAUAUACUAUGUUUGAAUUUCACAGAAAUUUCACUUUAAUGUGAGCACAUAUACUAUGUUUGUCGAUUAAUUUAUUAUUUUGAUUCGACUGGGGCUAACAUGAAUACAACUGCACAUAUAUGUCCCAGAAUUUGAAUCUCAUUUGAGUUUCGGCAAGUUCUUUUUACUGACUCUCUCAUCUCAUGGCAUUGUGUUUUUGUAUUUAAAGUUUUUCAUGUUAAUAAUUACAAGUAAUUAAAAUUCAAAGUCAACACUCUGCUAGUCGUCAUUCAAAUUGUGAAUUUCAUGUUUAUUUACCAAUUAUAUAAAAUUAUUUGUUGUUAUAAGUAUAUAUACCAAUUAUAAUUAUUUUUAUUUGAUUGUGGUAUCAUUCUUGCAGGCAUAAAACUACUCUGUCACUUGCUUUUUUCCAAAUAAAGAUAUCCAAGUAUGUGCAGUUAUUAAUUUUAAGGUAUCAAAAGAAGCAUAUAACCAUCCUCAACUCUAGGCC